UGACAAACUGGAUGCCCAUUGAGCGCGAAGAGUAGAUUGAUUGUAAACGAAUUUGUGGUAGGACGCAGUGUGCCAUGAAGAGAUUUCGAUUAACGAACACGAGUGUUUUUCAUACACAUUGGCGAAGGGUUUCUUUGUACGGGUGUGUGUGUGUUUGUGCACAUUUUUGCACAUUUCAUUACAUUUACAAGAGGAGUUAUGGAUAGCGAAGCUGCCAACGAAGGAACAAAACGCCAACGAAAAGAUAGAUUGCAAAUUCAAUAGGUGCUGCAGUAGGUUGUAAAAAUGCAUCAAGCUGCAUUCAGUAUCGAGAAGUAAGGCUGUGUGUUGGAAGCAGUCGUCGAUUGAUAGACGCAGACCGGGUGCGCUCAUGAAAUAGAUCAUGCCCUCAGGGAAUGCCUCUACUUCGAAGUUGGCGCAGUGGAAGUGGACGGAAUACGUUGAAGGGCCAUAUUUUAUUCCUUCGACAAGCAAGAAGUGAGAAGCGGAUGUACGGUACGCGGGAACAUAGAGAGCGUGUCUGGCACACACGCCCUUUCCUGCAGCGAAGAAAAUUCUAGGAACGAAUGAUAAAUCAUUUAUCAUUUUUGAUAUCAAAAUCAGAUAUGAAACUUAUGUUAUUUUUUAUCUGCACCGUUUUGCAGUUGCGUACGUGUUGUUGCUGUUGGCGGCAAAUUGUAGCCGAAAAAGUCAUCCACAACUCAUCGCGCUCAAACUUUUCCGCAACUCCACUACUCCACUCCGCAGCAGCGACGUCAACCAGAGGAACCCCCGAAUGUGGUCCCUCUGCCCGCUUGUGUUUGUUUCGUAACGAAUCAAUCAUUCGAUGUAUCGUGAUAUAUUAGAGUUCGGGCUAGAUUGA